rnacentral:rRNA from 1 species
CACGUAGGAGGCGAACGUUAUCCGGAUUUACUGGGCGUAAAGCGCGUGUAGGUGGUUCUGUAAGUAGGGCGUGAAAGCUCCCGGCUCAACUGGGAGAGGCCGUUCUAAACUACAGAGCUAGAGGAUGGUAGAGGGAGGUGGAAUUCCAGGUGUAGCGGUGGAAUGCGCAGAUAUCUGGAGGAACACCAGUGGCGAAGGCGGCCUCCUGGACCAUUCCUGACACUCAGACGCGAAAGCUAGGGUAGCAAACGGGAUUAGAGACCCCGGUAGUCCUAGCCCUAAACGAUGUAGACUAGACGUCGGUGGUUUAAUCACCAUCGGUGUCCAAGCUAACGCGAUAAGUCUACCGCCUGGGGACUACGGCCGCAAGGUUA